rnacentral:misc_RNA from 1 species
GAUGAAGACGCAGCGAAAUGCGAUAAGUAGUGUGAAUUGCAGAAUUCAGUGAAUCAUCGAAUCUUUGAACGCACAUUGCGCCCCUUGGUAUUCCAUGGGGCAUGCCUGUUCGAGCGUCAUUUGUACCUUCAAGCUCUGCUUGGUGUUGGGUGUUUGUCCUUGCUCUAGUGGCGGGACUCGCCUUAAAGUAAUUGGCAGCCAGUGUUUUGGUUUUGAAGCGCAGCACAAGUCGCGAUUCAAGUCUAUACGCUAGUUUCCACAAGUCUUUUAUCACUUUUGACCUCGGAUCAGGUAGGGAUACCCGCUGAACUUAAGCAUAUCAAUAAGCGGAGGA